rnacentral:rRNA from 1 species
UACGUAGGUGGCAAGCGUUGUCCGGAUUUACUGGGCGUAAAGGGAGCGUAGGCGGAUAUUUAAGUGGGAUGUGAAAUACCCGGGCUCAACCUGGGUGCUGCAUUCCAAACUGGAUAUCUAGAGUGCAGGAGGGGAAAGUGGAAUUCCUAGUGUAGCGGUGAAAUGCGUAGAGAUUAGGAAGAACACCGGUGGCGAAGGCGACUUUCUGGACUGUAACUGACGCUGAGGCUCGAAAGCGUGGGGAGCAAACAGG